rnacentral:rRNA from 2 species
AGUCUGACGGAGCAACGCCGCGUGAGUGAUGAAGGAUUUCGGUUCGUAAAGCUCUGUUGUUAGGGAAGAACAAGUGCCGUUCGAAUAGGGCGGCACCUUGACGGUACCUAACCAGAAAGCCACGGCUAACUACGUGCCAGCAGCCGCGGUAAUACGUAGGUGGCAAGCGUUGUCCGGAAUUAUUGGGCGUAAAGCGCGCGCAGGCGGUCUUUUAAGUCUGAUGUGAAAGCCCACGGCUCAACCGUGGAGGGUCAUUGGAAACUGGGAGACUUGAGUACAGAAGAGGAGAGUGGAAUUCCACGUGUAGCGGUGAAAUGCGUAGAUAUGUGGAGGAACACCAGUGGCGAAGGCGACUCUCUGGUCUGUAACUGACGCUGAGGCGCGAAAGCGUGGGGAGCAAACAGGAUUAGAUACCCUGGUAGUCCACGCCGUAAACGAUGAGUGCUAGGUGUUAGGGGUUUCGAUGCCCUUAGUGCCGAAGUUAACACAUUAAGCACUCCGCCUGGGGAGUACGACCGCAAGGUUGAAACUCAAAGGAAUUGACGGGGGCCCGCACAAGCAGUGGAGCAUGUGGUUUAAUUCGAAGCAACGCGAAGAACCUUACCAGGUCUUGACAUCCUUUGACCACCCUAGAGAUAGGGCUUUCCCCUUCGGGGGACAAAGUGACAGGUGGUGCAUGGUUGUCGUCAGCUCGUGUCGUGAGAUGUUGGGUUAAGUCCCGCAACGAGCGCAACCCUUGAUCUUAGUUGCCAGCAUUCAGUUGGGCACUCUAAGGUGACUGCCGGUGACAAACCGGAGGAAGGUGGGGACGACGUCAAAUCAUCAUGCCCCUUAUGACCUGGGCUACACACGUGCUACAAUGGAUGGUACAAAGAGCAGCAAAACCGCGAGGUCGAG